GGUUAUAUCUGUUCUGUCUUCCAACCUGAACACUGUUGAUACCAGUUUAUAUCUGUACUGUCUUCCAACCUGAACACUGAUACCAGGUUAUAUCUGUACUGUCUUCCAACCUGAACACUGAUACCAGGUUAUAUCUGUACUGUCUUCCAACCUGAACACUGCUGAUACCAGUUUAUAUCUGUACUGUCUUCCAACCUGAACACUGUUGAUACCAGGUUAUAUCUGUACUGUCUUCCAACCUGAACACUGUUGAUACCAGUUUAUAUCUGUACUGUCUUCCAACC